GUCGAGCGGCAGCAUGAUGUGUAGCAAUACACAUUGAUGGCGAGCGGCGGACGGGUGAGUAAUGCAUGGGGAUCUGCCCAGUAGCGGGGGACAACCCGGAGAAAUCCGGGCUAAUACCGCAUACGCCCUACGGGGGAAAGUGGAGGACCGAAAGGCUUCACACUAUUGGAGGAACCCAUGCCCGAUUAGCUAGUUGGUGAGGUAACGGCUCACCAAGGCGACGAUCGGUAGCUGGUCUGAGAGGACGAUCAGCCACACCGGAACUGAGACACGGUCCGGACUCCUACGGGAGGCAGCAGUGGGGAAUAUUGGACAAUGGGGGAAACCCUGAUCCAGCAAUGCCGCGUGGGUGAAGAAGGCCUGCGGGUUGUAAAGCCCUUUCGGUGAGGACAAAACGCGACGUGCUAAUACCACGUUGUUUUGAUUUAACUCACUAAAGAAGCACCGGCUAACUCUGUGCCAGCAGCCGCGGUAAUACAGAGGGUGCAAGCGUUAAUCGGAAUUACUGGGCGUAAAGCGCACGUAGGUGGCUGGGUAAGUUGGAUGUGAAAUCCCCGGGCUUAACUUGGGAAUUGCAUUCAAGACUGCCUUGCUAGAGUGUGGAAGAGGGAAGCGGAAUUCCAGGUGUAGCGGUGAAAUGCGUAGAUAUCUGGAGGAACAUCAGUGGCGAAGGCGGCUUCCUGGUCCAACACUGACACUGAGGUGCG
rnacentral:rRNA from 1 species